rnacentral:tRNA from 1 species
GUUGCAUUAGCUCAGUCAGGCUAGAGCAUCCGGCUCAUAACCGGGCAUACAUUGGUUCAAAUCCAUUAUGCAGCACCA